CACUUCCUACGGGGGGCAGCAGUGGGGGAUAUUGGACAAUGGGGGGAACCCUGAUCCAGCCAAGUCGCGUGAAGGAUGACGGCCCUACGGGUUGUAAACUUCUUUUGUCAGGGAGCAAUUGGGUCCACGCGUGGGCUUAGCGAGAGUACCUGAAGAAAAAGCAUCGGCUAACUCCGUGCCAGCAGCCGCGGUAAUACGGAGGAUGCGAGCGUUAUCCGGAUUUAUUGGGUUUAAAGGGUGCGUAGGCGGAAUAUCAAGUCAGCGGUAAAAAUUCGGGGCUCAACCCCGUCGUGCCGUUGAAACUG
rnacentral:rRNA from 1 species